rnacentral:rRNA from 1 species
CCUACGGGGUGCACCAGUGGGGAAUAUUGCACAAUGGGCGCAAGCCUGAUGCAGCCAUGCCGCGUGUGUGAAGAAGGCCUUAGGGUUGUAAAGUACUUUCAGUUGGGAGGAAGGCGGUGAGGUUAAUAACCUCAUCGACUGACGUUACCCGCAGAAGAAGCACCGGCUAACUCCGUGCCAGCAGCCGCGGUAAUAUGGAGGGUGCAAGCGUUAAUCGGAAUUACUGGGCGUAAAGCGCACGCAGGCGGUCUGUCAAGUCGGAUGUGAAAUCCCCGGGCUCAACCUGGGAACUGCAUUCGAAACUGGCAGGCUAGAGUCUUGUAGAGGGGGGUAGAAUUCCAGGUGUAGCGGUGAAAUGCGUAGAGAUCUGGAGGAAUACCGGUGGCGAAGGCGGCCCCCUGGACAAAGACUGACGCUCAGGUGCGAAAGCGUGGGGAGCAAACAGGAUUAGAUACCCCUGUAGUC